AACGCGAAGAACCUUACCGGGGCUUGACAUCGGAGGACAACUCUAGAAAUAGAGCUUAGGGGCAACCCUACUUCCAGACAGGUGCUGCAUGGCUGUCGUCAGCUCGUGCCGUGAGGUGUUGGGUUAAGUCCCGCAACGAGCGCAACCCUCGUCGUGUGUUGGUUCGUAAGAAUCUCUCACACGAGACCGCCGAUGAGAAGUCGGAGGAAGGUGGGGAUGACGUCAAGUCAGCAUGGCCCUUACGUCUAGGGCUACACACGUGCUACAAUGGGUGCGACAACGAGUCCCAAACCCGCGAGGGUAAGGCAAUCUCUUAAACGCAUCCUCAGUUCGGAUUGAAGGCUGCAACUCGCCUUCAUGAAGUCGGAAUCGCUAGUAAACGCAGAUCAGCUACGCUGCGUUGAAUACGUUCCCGGGCCUUGUACACACCGAGACGAC
rnacentral:rRNA from 1 species